UACGUAGGGGCCGAGCGUUGUCCGGAGUUACUGGGCGUAAAGCGCGCGCAGGCGGCUCGUCAAGCCUGACGUGAAAGCCCCCGGCUCAACCGGGGAGGGUCGUCGGGGACUGGCGGGCUUGAGGUCGGCAGGGGUUGGUGGAAUUCCCGGUGUAGUGGUGAAAUGUGUAGAGAUCGGGAGGAACACCGGUGGCGAAGGCGGGUCUCUGGGCAUCUCCUGACGCUGAGGCGCGAAAGCGUGGGGAGCAAACGGG
rnacentral:rRNA from 1 species